CAAACCCUGUGACACCUACACUGGGGCCCACCAGGGCAGUGGCCCUUUUGGACACCAUGGACCUAUCACCAACAGCAAGGGCCCCCCUCCAGAGCCUCAAGGUCUGGCUACUCAGUGCAUCAGUCCCAGUCCCCACACAAAUGCCCUUUUUCACCUAAGGAGGCCGCAGUUUCCAGGCCACUAGACACUUAUCCAGAACACAGGAGGGCAGAAACGGUACCGAGCCUGGUGCCGUCCCGGAUGCAGUCAGGCAGGCCCCAAAUGAGCUCCCGCCAUGCGAGGAGGUGCAAGAAGGGCUAGAGGAUGAGACGCAGAAGGCCCUAACCUCUUUGUCCUCCCUGGACAAAGCUAUGGCAGGCACGGCGGUAUCGGGACCUCUCCAGAUCAACCACAGGGCACACCAGGAGCUGCUCCACAGAGUAGCCCAGAACUUGGGUUGGCAGGUGGAGGAGGCAGAGAAGGAGGAUCCUAUGGUGGACAUCUUAAGCCCUGAAGGCCCCUCCAGAAUCACCCUCCCGCUCAUAAAGACAAUCCAGUCAAACUAUAAGACAGUCUGGCAAACUCCAGCCUCCAGCGUGCCAAUAGUAAAGGGUGUAGAGAGGAAGUACUUUGUCUCUUUCAAGGGUUAUGACUUCGUCUUCUGUCACCUGGCCCCCUGUUCAGUGGUCAUCUCCAUGGUCAACGAACGGGAACGACACUGGCAACAAGCCCCAGCUCCCAAGGCUAAGGAGACAACACGUUUAGACCUAUUUGGCAGAAAGGCCUAUUCUUCUGGGAGCCUCCAACUGAGGAUCAUGAAUCAGCAGGUGAUCCUGAAUAGACGUAAUUUUAAUUCCUGGGCAGCAGUUUCCAAAUUUAAGGACUCAUUACCCCAGGGCUCUCAACCUGAGUUCACGGCCCUUGUGGCUGAAGGGAAGGCGGUAGCCAAAACCUCUCUGCAGGCCUCCCUCAACUCAGCAGACACUACAGCCAGAACAAUCACCUCAGGAGUGGUGAUGAGACACUCGACGUGGCUUCAGGCCUUCUGCCAGAGGUCCAAAAUACCCUUCAAGAUCUCCCAUUGGAAGGAUUCGGCCUCUUCACAGACCAAACGAUGCCAGGCUGCAUAGCCUUAAAGACUCCCGG
rnacentral:lncRNA from 1 species